AUUGAACGCUGGCGGCAGGCUUAACACAUGCAAGUCGGAGGGGUAGAAGGGGCUUGCUCCUUUGAGACCGGCGCACGGGUGCGUAACGCGUAUGCAAUCUGCCUUGUACAGAGGGAUAGCCCAGAGAAAUUUGGAUUAAUACCUCAUAGAAUAUUGAUGUGGCAUCACUAUUAUUAUUAAAGAUUUAUCGGUAAAGGAUA
rnacentral:rRNA from 1 species